UGACCUGAAAUACAGAGGAUAUCAAUGAAAUAUUUCUUCACAAGCCAAUGAUGAAAGAGAAAGGAUUGAUGAUGAAUAAUGUAUUAAAGAAAAAUAGUGUAUAUUGAUAACUAGCCAAAAAAGAUUUUCAAUGAUUGAAAAAGUACCA